rnacentral:rRNA from 1 species
AUUGAACGCUGGCGGCAUGCCUUACACAUGCAAGUCGAACGGUAACAGGUCUUCGGAUGCUGACGAGUGGCGAACGGGUGAGUAAUACAUCGGAACGUGCCCGAUCGUGGGGGAUAACGAAGCGAAAGCUUUGCUAAUACCGCAUACGAUCUACGGAUGAAAGCAGGGGACCGCAAGGCCUUGCGCGAACGGAGCGGCCGAUGGCAGAUUAGGUAGUUGGUGGGAUAAAAGCUUACCAAGCCGACGAUCUGUAGCUGGUCUGAGAGGACGACCAGCCACACUGGGACUGAGACACGGCCCAGACUCCUACGGGAGGCAGCAGUGGGGAAUGUUGGACAAUGGGCGAAAGCCUGAUCCAGCCAUGCCGCGUGCAGGAUGAAGGCCUUCGGGUUGUAAACUGCUUUUGUACGGAACGAAAAGACUCUGGUUAAUACCUGGGGUCCAUGACGGUACCGUAAGAAUAAGCACCGGCUAACUACGUG